rnacentral:lncRNA from 1 species
GGCCAGCGAGUACAGAGCACGCGCGUGGGAGUUUAUCGCUGCCUUGGCCAUUAACGACGCGCCGCUCCCUCGGUUUUGCAAGCAGUAGAACCGAAUCUGCACACAACAGAUAGAAAUCAACAAGUUAGAUUUUUGAAAAAGUAAUAACAAUUGACAAUUUCUUCACACAAGACAGUAUUUUUCUAAUUUCCUAACUUGAAUUUCAGGUUAACUCACCAUGCCUAAAGUGAAACAGGCUUCAACAUUUCCGGCAUCCGCACAGUUUUUGAGGAAACGGUGGGCCGAAUCGCACCAAUCUUUGGCUCUAAUAGCGAAAGCUCUGGG